GACGAACGCUGGCGGCGUUCUUAACACAUGCAAGUCGAACGGAAAGGCCCUGCUUUUGUGGGGUGCUCGAGUGGCGAACGGGUGAGUAACACGUGAGUAACCUGCCCUUGACUUUGGGAUAACUUCAGGAAACUGGGGCUAAUACCGGAUAGGAGCUCCUGCUGCAUGGUGGGGGUUGGAAAGUUUCGGCGGUUGGGGAUGGACUCGCGGCUUAUCAGCUUGUUGGUGGGGUAGUGGCUUACCAAGGCUUUGACGGGUAGCCGGCCUGAGAGGGUGACCGGCCACAUUGGGACUGAGAUACGGCCCAGACUCCUACGGGAGGCAGCAGUGGGGAAUAUUGCACAAUGGGCGGAAGCCUGAUGCAGCAACGCCGCGUGCGGGAUGACGGCCUUCGGGUUGUAAACCGCUUUCGCCUGUGACGAAGCGUGAGUGACGGUAAUGGGUAAAGAAGCACCGGCUAACUACGU
rnacentral:rRNA from 1 species